rnacentral:lncRNA from 1 species
GAACAUAGAGAAAUGAUAACAGAAUUCACUCCUCUGAAGAAGAAGAGCUAUCAUCUUGGCAUGAUUCUAUUUAAAAUAAAAAAUUGGAAGCAAAGGGAAUCUCCAAACUUUAUAUGCAGUAGGACUGAGCUGGAAAUGACUAUAAGACCAAUAGAACACUAUCAAAGCAAAGGCAUGUAAGGCCACCAGGACUAGUGUCUUCAGAGACCUUGUUCUUGUUGUUCACCCUUCAUGCUAGAAGAAGACCAAUGACAUCACAAUAUUGAGGUCAGGAUACGGGGCGUUGAACUGUGAAUGAUCAGGUCAGUAUGACCUCAGAAGUCUCCACUCCAGGUUUGGCACAAAUAGACCAUGUGAACAUGUGGGAUGAGGAUGUCUUGAUUCCUUGAUGCAGCCACGCCAUGUUGGACAGUCCUGUGCCAGUGGCUCCCAUGUCUUACAAUCAACAGAAAAAGUUCUUCAGAGAGACCUUAAGAAUGUCCUUGCCCUGCUUCUUCUGACCGCCACGUGAGCACCUGAUAAUGGGAGAAUUCUUUAUAAAAUGGUCUUUUAGGUGUAAAAAUGAGGGAAGUAUUUGUAUUGGCGAUCCUGCAAUUGCCUAGAGGUUCUUCUUGAAGUUUUGUGAUUGCCUUCCUGAUAUAUAACAUUGGGAGUGUUCAGAAACCACACCUGGAAGAGACAGACCAUUUAACCGUACAAGAAGUGACGUGUGAGCGACAGGCGUCACAUGUUAGCACCUGCUCCUUUCUAUGUCUGUGAAAAAUGUCCCCGCGUUCCGGGCUCCGCUGUACUCCCAGCAGUAACACUUGUGCCACAAUCUUGCUUCCAGGCCCCAUUCAUCCUUUAUGUGGCACCCAUCUGGUGUUCUCCAGGGAAGAGUGGCAAUAGCAGAGACAUUCCCCAUAUGAAGAAAGAUCAGUGCAGACGAGGGGGUCCAGAAGGAAAGGCCUCGCAGUCAAAAGCAGCAGGAAGUACUUAG